ensembl:snRNA U1 U1 spliceosomal RNA
AUACUUAACUGGCAGGGGAGACACCAUGAUCACGAAGGUGGUUUUCCCAGGGCUAGCUUCUCCAUCGCACUGCGGAUGUGCUGACCCCUGCGAUUUCCCCAAAUGUGGGAAACUUGACUACAUAAUUUGUAGUAGUCAGGCACUGUGUUUGCACUGUCCCUGA